UUUCUCUCUAAAAUCUGCUCUUAGAGCUUGUUACCAUACUUUGGAAGCCUCCACCUGAGUUCUGAAAGUGUUCUUCAACACAAACUAUAGAACCUCCCAGAUAGUCGGACUUGGGUUAAUAAUACUUUUACUUGCGGCUUUUGCUAAAUUAUAAUCAUAUUGAUUGGAAGCUAGCAAAAGGUAAAUACUCUUAACUUAUUUUGUUUUUAAACUUGGGGUAUGGCGAAUACGCCACUUGGAGCGAGCAUUACAUAAAUGAGUCGACUAUGACUGCUCAUAAAUGUAAGAACUCGGUUUAAUCCGUUAUACUUGAUAACUGUGUCCGGACGUCCCGACUCAUGAACUAUUAUGGCCAUACGGAAUAGCAUGCAGGGGUAGGCAUGUUGACUGUAAGACACGUUUUAUUCAACUUUGGUGUGUACCUUAAUCAUUAUAGCACUGAAAAUAACCGGCUCUGAUCUCUGGUUCCCAUUGUAUGACAAGUAUAUAAAUCUGGUGACAAGAAAGAAUCCCAAAAAAUAUUAAAUGAUUACCUACGGGUUUUCUAUAUCUAUAAAACUCUUUUUGAAAAAUUGUUUUCAAAACGAGUCAGUUAAUUGUAUUUACCAGCGAAAGCUGACAUAUUUUCAAAAGAUUGAAUCGCAGGUACCGAACCUUACUAUUAGGCUGGGAAUCUGGGUCGGCUAGAAGGAAGGCUAAGGAAUUUGCAACUCCUCAAGCUUAAGGCCUAUGAUGUCUAAAACUCUUUUUACUAGAUCCCGCAUGUGGGCAUGUACUGGAACGAUUGUAUAAAUGUUUGUAUAUAUUCAAGCUUUUAUUAAAUGAAUACUUUUACUCCAA